AGGGGGCACGCAGUUUUGAACCACUGACCUCCCGAUCUGCAGUCGAAUGCUCUACCACUGAGCUAUAACUCC